UAAAAACGAGCGCAACCCUUGUCAUUUAGUUGCCAGCAUGUCAUGAUGGGCACUUUAAUGAAGACUGCCAAUGAAAAAUUGGAGGAAGGUGAGGAUCACGUCAAAUCAUCAUGCCCCUUAUGAUCUGGGGCUACAAACGUGAUACAAUGGCUGUUACAAAGAGUAGCUGAAACGCAAGUUUAUAGCCAAUCUCAUAAAAGCAGUCUCAGUUCGGAUUGAAGUCUGCAACUCGACUUCAUGAAGUUGGAAUCGCUAGUAAUCGCGAAUCAGCAUGUCGCGGUGAAUACGUUCUCGGGGUUUGUACACACCGCCCGUCAAACCACGAAAGUUGGUAAUACUCAAAAACGGUAGCCUAACUUCUUCGGAAGAGGGAACCGUCUAAGGUAGGAUCGAUGAUUGGGGUUAAGUCGUAACAAGGUAUCCCUACCGGAAGGUGGGGAUGGAUCACCUCCUUUCUAAGGAAUAAUUUUUUAAAUAUUCAUCUUCAGUUUUGAAAGACUUAGUUCUUAUAAGUUUUUCUUUUUUAAGGAAAAGAAAAUGGGCCUAUAGCUCAGUUGGUUAGAGCACACGCCUGAUAAGCGUGAGGUCGAUGGUUCAAGUCCAUUUAGGCCCACCAACUGAAAAAAAGGUCUUUUUUCUAAUUCUUAAAAAAAAAGUUCUUUGAAAAGUAGAUAAACAAAGUAUUUUUUAAAAAUCAAAGGAAAUCAAAGGGGGGCCCGA
rnacentral:misc_RNA from 1 species